GUGUUUUCAGUGUUUGUCCAGUCUGCCCUCCUCUGUUCAUCAGUAACAGAGGGGAAGGUCUCAGACAGAGGACACAGACUAACCUCUGCCCAAGAAUGGGGACAAGUCCAAAGAUGAGGGCUUUGUCCUAAAGGCAGGGCAGCACAAA
ensembl:scaRNA small Cajal body-specific RNA 11